rnacentral:rRNA from 1 species
CCUACGGGAGGCAGCAGUGGGGAAUAUUGCACAAUGGGGGGAACCCUGAUGCAGCGACGCCGCGUGGGUGAAGGAGUAUUUCGGUAUGUAAAGCCCUAUCAGCAGGGAAGAACAAUGACGGUACCGGACGAAGAAGCACCGGCUAAAUACGUGCCAGCAGCCGCGGGAAUACGUAUUGGUCAAGCGUUAACCGGAUUUACUGGGUGUAAAGGGAGCGCAGGAGGCGCGUUACGCCUGGGGUGACAGCCCGCGGCCCAACCGCGGGACUGCAUUGGGAACUGGCGCGCUGGAGUGCCGGAGGGGUAGGCGGAAUUCCUAGUGUAGCGGUGAAAUGCGUAGAUAUUAGGAGGAACACCAGUGGCGAAGGCGGCCUACUGGACGGUGACUGACGCUGCGGCUCGAAAGCGUGGGGAGCAAACAGGAUUAGAUACCCGGGUAGUC